ACUCAAAUGAAUUGACGGGGGCCCGCACAAGCAGCGGAGCGUGUGGUUUAAUUCGACGCAACGCGAAGCACCUCACCCAGGUUUGACAUGCCACUGCAGACGGCGGAAACGUCGUCGCCUUCGAGGGUGUGGCACCGGUGCUGCAUGGCUGUCGUCAGCUCGUGUCGUGAGAUGUUGGGUUCAGUCCCGCAACGAGCGCAACCCCCGCGGCCAGUUACUUGUGUCUGGCCGGACGGCCCAUUUGGGAGGAAGGUGGGGAUGAUGUCAAGUCCGCAUGGCCCGUACGCCUGGGGCGACACACACGCUACAAUGGCGCCGACAGUGCGCUGCUGACCGGCAACGGUUGGCGAAUCGCCAAACGGCGUCUCAGUUCAGAUCGGGGGCUGCAACUCGCCCCCGUGAAGGCGGAGUUGCUAGUAACCGCGUAUCAGCCACGGCGCGGUGAAUACGUACCCGGGCCUUGUACACACCGCCCGU
rnacentral:rRNA from 1 species